rnacentral:lncRNA from 1 species
GGUCAAUUUUCUAAAACCGCAUCAAAACACCAAAGAAAUGACCAUGAGAUUUAUCAUAGGUCAAACAAGGUCAAAGGACCUUGGAGAAAAAAUUUCAGAAUUUUUGGAAACAUAAAAGUAUUUUUAAAUAAUUAAAAAUAUUAACAAAAUCAAUUAAAUCAUGAAAAAUAUUAAUAAUGAUCCAAAAAAUCAUUUUAAUUCAAAAUAUGAAAGAAGAUUCUAUUUAAAAAAUUAUUGGUGAAACUCUCAUAUUUUUUGGAUCAAUAUUAAAAUUAAUAUGAAUUAAUAAAAAUCAAAGGAAUAAAAAUAAAAAUACAAAAAAUUAAAAAAAGUGGACCACUUGAUCUCCCUCAUUAAUUGAGGUGGCAGAUCAAGUGGAUCUGAGCGUGUCUU